ACUAUUGGAAACGAUAGCUAAUACCGCAUAAGAACAUUUACUGCAUGGUAGAUGUCUAAAAGGUGCAAAUGCAUCACUACCAGAUGGACCUGCGUUGUAUUAGCUAGUAGGUGAGGUAACGGCUCACCUAGGCGACGAUACAUAGCCGACCUGAGAGGGUGAUCGGCCACACUGGGACUGAGACACGGCCCAGACUCCUACGGGAGGCAGCAGUAGGGAAUCUUCGGCAAUGGGGGGAACCCUGACCGAGCAACGCCGCGUGAGUGAAGAAGGUUUUCGGAUCGUAAAGCUCUGUUGUUAAGGAAGAACGAGUGUGAGAAUGGAAAGUUCAUACUGUGACGGUACUUAACCAGAAAGGGACGGCUAACUACGUGCCAGCAGCCGCGGUAAUACGUAGGUCCCGAGCGUUGUCCGGAUUUAUUGGGCGUAAAGCGAGCGCAGGCGGUUAGAUAAGUCUGAAGUUAAAGGCAGUGGCUCAACCAUUGUAGGCUUUGGAAACUGUUUAACUUGAGUGCAGAAGGGGAGAGUGGAAUUCCAUGUGUAGCGGUGAAAUGCGUAGA
rnacentral:rRNA from 1 species